AGAUCCUCCUAUCCUAAAUAACAUGAGUUUGACUUGAUAAGGAUAUAUGCUUUUUUCUUAGGUCUCAUGAAUAUAACACGAUGCCCAGCACAUAGAAAGCAGACAAUAAGUGUUUGUUGGAUAACUGUGGACAGUUCAGUCGACCAGCAAAUUCCUCUUAGGACUCCGGAUGCACAGAGAGUGGCCAGAUUAAUACAGACUGGCAAAAGAAGAACUUGGCAAAGUGAUUUGAUCACACACUUCUCACCCUCACAUCUCCUGACAGUUCCCCUAAUCCCUGCCCCACUUCCCCGCCAUGGGCUUCCAUCAGGAAACUCCUUGAUAUCAUCUUCGGUAUGUACCUCAUAAAGUUAAGAAAUGGAAUAUUAAUAACAACUUUUAACAUAAUC
ensembl:lincRNA